rnacentral:rRNA from 1 species
CAGUAGCCGCGGUAAAACGGAGGGGGCUAGCGUUGUUCGGAAUUACUGGGCGUAAAGCGCACGUAGGCGGCUUGGUAAGUUAGAGGUGAAAGCCUGGAGCUCAACUCCAGAAUUGCCUUUAAGACUGCCGAGCUAGCAGGUGAGAGAGGUAAGUGGAAUUCCGAGUGUAGAGGUGAAAUUCGUAGAUAUUCGGAAGAACACCAGUGGCGAAGGCGGCUUACUGGCUCAUACUGGACGCUGAGGUGCGAAAGCGUGGGGAGCAAACAGGAUUAGAGACCCCCGUAGUCCCUGUCUCUUAUAC